GAUGAAGAACGUAGCGAAAUGCGAUAAGUAAUGUGAAUUGCAGAAUUUAGUGAAUCAUCGAAUCUUUGAACGCACAUUGCGCCCCCUGGUAUUCCGGGGGGCAUGCCUGUUCGAGCGUCAUUUCUCCACUCAAGCCUCGCUUGGUAUUGGGCAACGCGGUCCGCCGCGUGCCUCAAAUCGACCGGCUGGGUCUUCUGUCCCCUAAGCGUUGUGGAAACUAUUCGCUAAAGGGUGUUCGGGAGGCUACGCCGUAAAACAACCCCAUUUCUAAGGUUGACCUCGGAUCAGGUAGGGAUACCCGCUGAACUUAAGCAUAUCAAUAAGCGGAGGA
rnacentral:misc_RNA from 1 species